rnacentral:rRNA from 1 species
AUUGAACGCUGGCGGCAUGCUUUACACAUGCAAGUCGAACGGCAGCGCGGGCUUCUGCCUGGCCGCGCGUGGCCAACGGGUGAGUAAUUCAUCGGAACGUGCCCAGCCUUUGGGGCUAGCACGGCUAAAGCCGGCUUAAUACCGCACACGACCUGAGGUUGAAACCGGUGGUCCAAAAGUCCUCGCGCUAUUUGCUGUGCCGAUGUCGGAUUAGCUAGUUGGUUGGGUAAAGGCUUACCAAGGCGACGAUCCGUAGCUGAUCUGAGAGGCCGACCAGCCACACUGGGACUGAGACACGGCCCAGACUCCUACGGGAGGCAGCAGUGGGGAAUUUUGGACAAUGGGGGCAACCCUGAUGCAGCAAUGCCGCGUGCGGGAAGAAGGCCUUCGGGUUGUAAACCGCUUUUGUUAGGGAAGAAAACCUCUGGGAUAAUACCCCGGGGGGAUGACGGUACCGGAAGAAUAAGCAACGGCUAACUACGUG